CUGCUUCUUCUUGCAAAGACUGACUUGUGUAAUGCAAUAUUAUUUUCACCGCGCUCCAUAGCUUUGCAAUUGUCUGAUGAGUUUCCAAUUCGCUCCUAUAUACAACAUGGGGAACAAUUGAGUAAUAGAUAGUAGAUGAAUUAACGAGCAACAUUGAAUGAGUUUUAAAGAUAUGAUAAAUGGGCUCUAAUGUUGAUAGAAGAACUGACAAUAGUGAAAAAUGAGUAUAGGAGAAAUGGAGAAGCUGCCUACUAGUUUAUUUAUUUUUUAUUUCCUAGUAUGGGUAAUGGCUGCACAAGUAAAUAUACCUCUACUUGAGGGUUUUUUUCUCCCAAAAACUGUAUAGGCUGGAGCCUAUACAGCCUAAAGACUUCUAUCCGCCCAUGUCUCAGCCUUGAUUCAAAUUAAUAUUUUAAACAAGAUGAGCGGUAAUUUUAGAUCGAAGAAGGGUACGAAGGGCCAAAGGUCCGAAUCGUCUGAGGGAACCUCUAGCAACCCUCAAACGUCGUUUCGGGACCCCAUGACAGCCAGACGUGCCACCCUUCUAGAGACGGCGCAGAGGCAGCCGAGCGUUUCCCAUUCCUCGAGGUAGCUGGAGGUGCCCCCUUCAUCGAGGCAGCCGAGCGUCCGUCAUUCCUUGAGGCAGCUGUGGCCUCAGACCUAGACGGAGGUGUCUGCACCCCGUAUGCCUGAGAUACACCGGGUGCCCACUCCGGGUCCUACUGCUUCGGAUGGUGGGUCAUCUGGGGUACAGAUGCCGCCGCCUCAUCUGUUCCUUAGGCGGAUGAUACUGGCCUUACCUGCAGUCGAUGACUCAGGGACGCCGAUUUAUCCACUACCCCCGCCAGUGCUCCAUCAGCGGCGUACCGGUUCGUGCCUUUUGAUACGCUCUUAUCUCCGCGAGGGUGUCAUCAUCGGCGACGGAGACGGAAUCCGUCGAGUCCGCCGCAUCGCCCUCAGGUAAUGAAAGAUGAAUGAUUUGUUUUCUUAUAAUUAAUAAUAAAGGGUCUUCGAUUUUAAUAAUCAAUUUGAUUUAUCAUGUGAUAGGCAUUGUCGGAGUGAAGCCGACAAAGAAGAAGAGAGGCCUCGUCACAGGGAAGGCUUUCGAGAAGUAUUGAUGGGGAUGGCCAUAUAGUAUCGGGCGGGAAGUCGAGGACGUACUCCGGCUGCGUGGGAGCGCUCAUUAGGGAUAGAGUCCCUAUGUUGUGGUCAGACUGGGGCGAGGUCCCACAGGAGGUUAAGGACAUGGUCCACAACGCGAUGUCAGUGAGUUUACAAAAUGCCUCAAUAAUAUUAUGUAUUACAUUGUUGAUUUCUCGAAAAACUAAACUAAUAAACGGUUAAAUGCAGGUGUGGUUUGACGUUCCCGAGCACCUGAAGAACAGCUGGGCGGACGUUGUGCAUGGGGGAAGAUACGUUGGGAAGUUAAUGAAAAAACAAAACUGUAUGUGAUAUUAAUAAUAUUUCUAAUAUUUUUGUUGUAUCUGUAGUUACAAGGAGUGGAAGAACGAGUUGCGGACCCACUAGGCUACGCACGGGAACGCACGUUCUGGUACCCCUGCUGAGUUUCAGUAUAGGGAGUACGAGUGGCGUUGGCUUCUGACAUCAGAAUUCAACAACCCUCAUAAACAGGUAUUUAAAAAAAUUAAUUAGUUAAUUUGUCAUUAAGCACGUCCGUUUUUAAAUAUUUUACUAAUAGUUUAUUUUUGGACUAAUUUUAGUUUACCCCUAUCAACUUUAGGUCGAUCAUCAUGUUAGUCCGUAUUCUUUCAAUUUCAUCAAAAACACCCCUCAACUCCCAAUUUUCAUCAGCCGCGCAUGUCCAAACCUCCAAUCUUCAUCCAAUUCCUCUGUCAAGUGAUGACUUGAUAUCAAGAAGAAUGUCAAAUUCUGAAAGUUCCCUUUCGGACCAUUUUUCCCCCAUAUCGAUACACAUCUUCGUUCCCAUCACAUCCCCCUAACUUUAGUGAUUUUGGUGGGAUUGAAUGCAAUUUGUCUAUUUUUCCUUUUUUCUUUCUUCUUGAUAUCAAGUCAUCACUUGACAGAGGAAUUGGAUGGAGAUUGGAGGUUUGGACAUGCGUGGCUGAUGAAAAUUAGGAGGUGUUUUUGAUGAAAUUGAAAGAAGAAGGACUAACAUGAUGAUCGACCUAAAGUUGAUGGGGGUAAACUGAAAUUAGUCCUUUAUUUUUUCUUUGAAUGUCGUUUCCCGGGCGAACGCUCAGAACCGACAACGCAACACAAGGAACCAUCAUGCUGGUUCUAGACCGUUCGCUGUCUUCAUGGACGAGGCGGCCAGGGAACAUCCAGAAGUCAACCGGUACGUCUAUACGUAUGAGAAGGCAUAUCCUGACGCCCAGGAGGAUAUUGUAAGUCAUCUUACGUUUUUAAAUUUUAAAUUUUACUUAUAUAUAUAUGUCAAAAUGGUAAUUAAUCAUUUUUUUCCUAUCCAAUUAGGCGAAUGUGAGGGAGGCUAGUGACGAGGUGAUGAGUGCUAUAGUGAGGGAGGCAUGGCCGGACACGCAGGAGGAAGAGAUGUCUGAAGCCAUGUCCCGGAUCAACACUUCAAAUCCGAGGGUUAGGGCGAGGAUCAUGGGCACAGCCUUCUCACCGCGAGGAAACAACUUCUAUUGCCGGGGUCUAGGAAAUAAGGGCGAGAGGGUCCUGAAGACCACUCCAGGAUUUCAACGAAAGGCAGCCUCGACCAGCAGCAGGACGACUCAGCUAGAGUCGAAAGUUGAGAGACUAUAGGAACAGCAAGCUGCUCAGGCUGCCGCUCAUGAGGCCCAGAUCGCCCCCUAGACAACCUAUACUGCCGCGCAGACGGCCUAUACUUCCGCGGUAUUUGCCACCCAGCAGGCCCAGCAGCAGCAGAUGUUCCAGUACUUGCAGGAGUUUACAGCUGCCCAGCUUCAGGGAUUUCCGGCUCCGCCCAUGCCUACGCCUAUACCGUUACCUCAGCAGCCGCAACCUCCUUCGCAGCAGCCCCCAGAAUCGGAUCUUGAUUUAGACGAUCUAGAUUUUGUGUAGUUGAUCAAUUAUAUAGUUUUAUGUGCUUGUUGUUGGUUAUAUGGAAUUGUUUUGGUGUAUUUUGCAGUUUGCUUGGAAUGGUAAUUUAGAAAUUUCAGGUUUUUUGUUUUACUGGAAUGGACUUAUAACCGAUGAAACAUGUAAGAUAUUCGUCGGUUAUAGUAUUUUUAAUUUUUUUUAUAAGGUUUAGCUGACGAAUUACGGCAUGGUUCGUCGGGGGCUAAACUUUUCUAAAGCCGACGAAACAGACUAUAUUUCGUUGGUUAUAGUUAUUUUUUUAAUUUUUUUAUUACAUACUUUAACCGACGAAUAUCUUAAAUAUUUUGUCAGCUAAAGUCUUAGACUACGGUUGACGAAACAUUUAAGAUAUUCGUCGGCUUAAUUCUGAGACAAUAGCCGAUGACGUCUUUUUCGUCGGCUAAAUUCUGAGACAAUAGCCGACGACGUCUUCUUGUUUCGUCUGCUAAAGUCAUUGUCGACGACUCUUUCCUGACAAAACCAUAACCGACGAAUUUAUCUAACAGGCCGACGAAACUAUAUUUAAUUGCUUGUCUUGGUAGUGUUUCCUAUGAUGUUAGCAUUCAGCAAAAACAUAAAACUCUAAAUUGAAAGUCAAUAUUUCCCCCACAUGUAAAGUUUGAGGUGUUACAAGUAUAUAUUUAAUUUAUUUACGGUUUCGUUUCUGGACAUUUUCGACACGUUUUUUUGGCUUUUUCCGACGCUUUUUCAAGAACAGAUUAUGAACCUUCAUGGCUUCUACUACGCUGGGUAUGGACGGGAACGGCCUUAAUGGUUGGAAGCAGCCGGACACGACCUGGUAUUUAUCCAUAAAUAAUAAUAGGAUACUUGGGGACAAUUCUGACUUUGCAACCCUGGUGUUCUAGCGCGCCUCAAGCGGUUAUUUGGAGGAUUCUUAACACACACCGGUUUGCAGUCAGCCAUGGAGAGUUUAUCUGCAGGAGUUCGUAUGCUUUGUUGGCCAUUCUAUGCAGAACAACACACAAAUAAUUAAGUAGUGUGCUUGUAAGAAAUGGGGAAUCGGGAUGGAGAUUAGUAACGACGUGAAGAGAGAAGAAGUAAAAAGCUAGCCUUGUCAAGGAGUUAGUGGAGGGAGAUCCAAGGGUAAGGAAAUGAAAGCUAAGGCCAUGGAGUGGAAGACACUUGCAGAAGAAGCCACAGCUCCACAUGGUUCUUCAUCCUCAAACUUUAACUACAUAGUGAAUCAACUAUGACCAAGGACGUACAGACAUUCUUCAUCUUAUUCUUGUCUAUCUAUCUUAACAACUAAAUGUAGUUGCAUUCACUGAUGAUGACUAUUCUUGACUCAAUAAGCAGGAUUUCUUAAUCCAGUUUAUCUCAAUGCUCUAUAUAUAUUUGUACAAAUAAUAACAGAACUCUUAGACGU
rnacentral:lncRNA from 1 species